GCCCUAUGAGGUAUAUGCAACGGGCGAGCGUGGGACAAACUGCGCCUGUGCCGGGCACCUCGCUUCUGGGCGGAGUCUAGUUUCUCUAGCUGGGAUGCCAUUAUGCCUGGCUCAGGAAUCCUACUGAGUGACACAAAACAGAUUCUUCUGCACUGGGACCCCAUCACAGCCCUGCAUGACAUCUGCUCACUGUGUCUCCAGGGAGACUGCCAGGAGACCAGCACAGGCUAAGUUCAAUUCAGGGCCCGCUGGGACAGGUGGGCUGCCUCCUGCUUGUGUAGGGACGUCACCUUCCCUUGAUGCCAUGUGACUGCCAAGCUCCUAUGGUGACACGGAGCGGGACGGAGGCCACUGUGGGAUCCCAUGCUGGCUGUCCAGGUAGCACACAAAGACGUCGGGGGGCCAUGCAGAGACCGCACAGCCAAGGCCACAGGGCUCAAGACGACCGUGGCAUCCAGCCACAGGCUCCGGCUCCUGCCCUCCCGAGCACACGACCCCAGCAGCGCUGGCCUCUGUACCGCGAGUCACAGCACGGCAGGAGCGGG